AACUUUCCAACAAAGGCAUCUCUUGGUUCUGGCAUCGAUAAAGAACGCAGCGAAAUGCGAUAAGUAAUGUGAAUUGCAGAAUUCAGUGAAUCAUCGAAUCUUUGAACGCACAUUGCGCCCGCCAGUAUUCUGGCGGGCAUGCCUGUCCGAGCGUCAUUU
rnacentral:rRNA from 1 species